AUAGUCUUGGUUAACAAUAGCCUCCUCCUGCUGCUCCUCCUCCGGAUGCUUGGGAAGAUGGAUGAACCUUUGCAGAAAACAGAAGUCUAACCCUGAAAAGGUAGGCACCACCUGUUGCUGUCCCCUGUCUCAGAAUGGAGCCUCCCCAGUGUGGUCUACACAGCCCUACACUUCAGCAUCUACAUAAGUCUACUCAACCUUGAUUGGACCCUCCUGGAAGGCGACCGCAGCGCCGACACGGAUAACCACGGUCUCUUCUAUUUGGCUCUGGAAUUAAUUACACCUUUUAGACAAAUUUCCCUCCCUAAUUAAUCUUUCUUCGGCUAACAUUAAAAUUAACUAGUCGUCUCGGAGCCCAUGCCAACUGGGCAGGGAUUAGAAGCAGAGGAAGUCAAGGGGAGGGGCCGAUGCUGGCUGCCAUUCACCUUGGAUCAACACAGCAGUCAGUGCUGGGGACUGUGUGCUGGCAGGGGCCUCUGUGGUUACAGACUCCAGCCUCCAGGGAGAAGAAGCAUCUGGAAUCACGAAAUGGCUGAAGAGGACCGCCUUUACCUCCCAGCACCAACUCAGAGACUCACAAUCGGCUGUAACUGAGGUCCUAGGGGAUCCAAUGCUCAAUUCUGACCUGUGAGGGCACCAGGAAAAACAAAGAGA